GCGAGUCAUUGUAGCAAUACAAGGCAUACGGCUCAGUAACGCGUAGUCAACCUAACCUAUGGACGGGAAUAACCUCGGGAAACUGAGAAUAAUGCCCGAUAGAACAUUAUACCUGGAAUGGUUUAUGUUCCAAAUGAUUUAUCGCCAUAGGAUGGGACUGCGGCCUAUCAGUUUGUUGGUGAGGUAAUGGCCCACCAAGACUAUUACAGGUACGGGCUCUGAGAGGAGUAGCCCGGAGAUGGGUACUGAGACACGGACCCAGGCCCUAUGGGGCGCAGCAGGCGAGAAAACUUUGCAAUGUGCGAAAGCACGACAAGGUUAAUCCGAGUGAUUUCUGCUAAAGAAAUCUUUUGUUAGUCCUAGAAACACUAACGAAUAAGGGGUGGGCAAGUUCUGGUGUCAGCCGCCGCGGUAAAACCAGCACCUCAAGUGGUCAGGAUGAUUAUUGGGCCUAAAGCAUCCGUAGCCGGCUCUGUAAGUUUUCGGUUAAAUCUGUACGCUUAACGUACAGGCCGCCGGGAAUACUGCAAAGCUAGGGAGUGGGAGAAGUAGACGGUACUCGGUAGGAAGUGGUAAAAUGCUUUGAUCUAUCGAUGACCACCUGUGGCGAAGGCGGUCUACUAGAACACGUCCGACGGUGAGGGAUGAAAGCUGGGGGAGCAAACCGGAUUAGAUACCCGGGUAGUCCCAGCUGUAAACUAUGCAAACUCAGUGAUGCAUUGGCUUGUGGCCAAUGCAGUGCUGCAGGGAAGCCGUUAAGUUUGCCGCCUGGGAAGUACGUACGCAAGUAUGAAACUUAAAGGAAUUGGCGGGGGAGCACCACAAGGGGUGAAGCCUGCGGUUCAAUUGGAUUCAACGCCGGG
rnacentral:rRNA from 1 species